CGACGGUACCUGACUAAGAAGCCCCGGCUAACUACGUGCCAGCAGCCGCGGUAAUACGUAGGGGGCAAGCGUUAUCCGGAUUUACUGGGUGUAAAGGGAGCGUAGACGGAAUUGCAAGUCUGAUGUGAAAGGCAUGGGCUCAACCCGUGGACUGCAUUGGAAACUGUGAUUCUUGAGUGCCGGAGGGGUAAGCGGAAUUCCUGGUGUAGCGGUGAAAUGCGUAGAUAUCAGGAGGAACACCGGUGGCGAAGGCGGCUUACUGGACGGCAACUGACGUUGAGGCUCGAAGGCGUGGGGAGCAAACAGGAUUAGAUACCCUG
rnacentral:rRNA from 1 species